rnacentral:rRNA from 1 species
GACGAACGCUGGCGGCGUGCCUAAUACAUGCAAGUCGAACGCUUCUUUCCUCCCGAGUGCUUGCACUCAAUUGGAAAGAGGAGUGGCGGACGGGUGAGUAACACGUGGGUAACCUACCCAUCAGAGGGGGAUAACACUUGGAAACAGGUGCUAAUACCGCAUAACAGUUUAUGCCGCAUGGCAUAAGAGUGAAAGGCGCUUUCGGGUGUCGCUGAUGGAUGGACCCGCGGUGCAUUAGCUAGUUGGUGAGGUAACGGCUCACCAAGGCCACGAUGCAUAGGCGGCCCGGGAGGGGGAUCCGCCACACUGGGGCUGAGACACGGCCCAGACUCCUACGGGAGGCCGCAGUAGGGAAUCUUCGGGAAUGGACGAAAGUCUGACCGAGCAACGCCGCGUGAGUGAAGAAGGUUUUCGGAUCGUAAAACUCUGUUGUUAGAGAAGAACAAGGACGUUAGUAACUGAACGUCCCCCGACGGUAUCUAACCAGAAAGCCACGGCUAACUACGUG